CUGAGGUUUUUUGUUUUUUUGUUUUGUUUUGUUUUGUUUUUGAGUGAAUUAGACACGUAGCUUCUAUUCCAAUUUUAUGGAAACAUCUGAGAGUGUUCAUAUUUCUCAUUUUCAGUUUCACUUUGUGUACAUGAAGAUCACUGUGUGGAGUUACCUCUCUGAUUUUUAAUACUGUCUUACUCCCCAAAUCCCAGGCUGGGAUUAGUCCCACCCUAUGUGUUUGUAGCACCACAGUGUGCUUGCUUAGCCUGCCACACAGUGACCUCCUUAGCCUGGCAUGCUUUGUCAGCUUCUGGAAUAAUGAGAUCAUUGAUUUCAACCCUAUCUGGAAAGGAACUUCACGUGGUUAGAAGGACGUUACCAUCGCUUUUCACUUAGACUCUGUGCCAUGGUUGAAUGCUGAAAGGCCACAAGCUUGCAUGGGAUUCACCAUGUUUCAUUAUUAACUAUAUUGUAGUUUUAAAUUAUUAAAUUAAUGAAUGACAUUCUUACCAAGUAGAUGUUUCUAAGUAAGGUACUAUAUGUGUACAGUGGUCCAAAGUUUCUUAAUGCUCUGUGAUAAUUCUGUAAUUUAAUUAGUAUGUCUGUAUUGCAAAUUAAUAAAACUGUUGAGGUUAUAAAGUUGUUCAUUAAGGAAGCAAUUCUCUUGCCAUUUAGUUUGUUUGUUCUCUGCACUAAACUGAGAUGCCAGAUGGCCACAGGAAAACAUGUUAAUAUUAUUUAAAUAGUGCUUUUAUUCCUUGAAAUGUUUAAGAGGUUUAAGAAACUUCAAUUAACAAUGUUGCAUUGCAUUGUAUUUGGAAGAAAUAAUUUUUAGCACUUUACUCCUGUAAUGUGCCUUUGGUAUACAUGAUGGAAAGUGAUAUAUUGUAAAAGCAGUUCUAUUUCUUUUUCUGUCUUUAUUUAGUUGCUGUGCAUGUGUGUAUGCUUGUGUUUGUGUCUGUACAUGUAUGCGGGCCUAUGUGUCACCAGAGAACACUUGGAAUUCAGAGGAAAACUGUUGGAGGCAGUUCUCUCUUUGACCAUUGGCUUCCAAGAGUCAAACUCAGGUCUUUAGGCUGAGUAGAAAGCACCUACCUUUACCUGCUGAACCAGCACACUGGUCCAGCAAUUCUAUUUCUAGAUGUCCAGUUUUAAAAAUCUAAUAUUAUUCAAUAGGUGCUGGAAACUACAAAAAUCUUUUGCAGUUUCCAAUUUUAUUCGCAGACUUUAAAUUUUAUUGGUUUUGUGUUUCUGACUGCCUUUAUUUUCUCACAUUUCUGUAUUUAUACAUCAAUGCACAUGUAUACAUAAAUGAGCUGAAUCUAUGAUUUUCAUUGGAGGGUUUAUUCUGCCUGAAAUAAGGUAGUUUUUUCCCUUGCUUUCACAAUAUAAUCUAUUAUUCUAAACUCUGCAUGGAUUCCACCUGCAAUAUGAACUUCCCUCAACUGUAUAUCAUGAAACUCUCUCUCCUGCUUUUGGAUAUUUUUAGCCUUUAAUAUAUUUUCAUUAAUUUAUUAAAUAUGUACUUCCUCUUGGUAGUUUUUAAAAUAUUAUACUGCUUAAAUAUUUUUAAAUAACAUUCACAAUCAAGUUAGCUUCAGACCUCAAGAACAGGAUGUUUCCUGAAGCAAGCUUUGCAAAUUUAGUAUCUAGUUACUGUUUGGGAAAAAAAAUAGCAGUAUAUACAACAGAAAUAAGCAAUAUGAUCUAAAACAGCCAUAUCACAUGAGGGAUCCAUAAUAAUAUGGAUAAUAAUAUUCAAAUAAUAACUAUUAAAUAUAACUAUUAUAAAAAUAUUGAUUUUUCCAGAUGGUAGAGAGAUGAGAGAUAGAUAGAUAGAUAGACAGAAAGAAAGAGAGAGAGAGGAUGGCUAAAUUUCUUAAUCUUAGUUCUUAGUGUGUAUGUGAUUUGCAUAUACUUAUAUAUAUAUAUGUAUAUGCAUGUGAUUUGUGUAUCUGUGUGUCUGUUUCUGUGUGUGUGUGUGUGUGUGUGUGUGUGUGUGUGUGUGUGUGUGUGUGUAUGUGUGUGUUACUAUGUGUAAGUACCACAGCACAAGGACAGCCUCCAGUGUUGAUCUUCCACCUUGAGACAGGUUCUCUUUGUUGUUUUUUUGUCUGCUGAACCACAAGCUUCCAAGGAAUCCUCUGUCUCCACUUCCUAUCAUACUGCAGGGGUGCUAUGAGUACAGAUUCACACUACUGUGUCUGGCUUUACACAGGAUCUGAGGAUCCUCAAGCUUGCAUGGCAAACACUUUACCCACUGAGUUAUCUCUUAAACCCCCAAGAGUGAGUUGAAAAAGAGAAAAAUAUAAUGACUUAAUUUUGAUUAGUCUAUUACUAGUUUUCAAAAUUCACUCUAUUUUUGUCUUCUUAUUAUGAUGCUAAUGUGAGCUAGUGAGUUGCCAUUACAGUGUCUGCUUUCUGAGGAGGAACCCAGUGCUCAGAGAAUUAGAAUUUGAUCAUAAAGAUCUGAUCUUUAUAUAUUAAUCAUCUAGAGGGGCAGUCUAAAACCAUCCGAGUCUUAUAAUCCUGCGAAAUUCUGGUUUCUUACCCACCACUACUAUAUUAGCGAUCAUUACCACUUAAAAAAAUCAAUAUGGAUAAUUACGUUAUUACAAAAAUUUAAGAAACAAGUUAGGAAAAAAAGUAGUCUGAGAUUUGAUUGUUAGACUCAGAAGCUGUCAAAUGUCCUUAGCAGAGAGCUGAAAGAUUUCCUAAACUGCAGUCUUCAGUGUGUUCAUUGCUCUGGGUGGGUAAUGAGCAACACCAGGAACACUUCCCGUGCCUGGACUACAUUCUGAGUAUUGUUCAACCCAUCAAGACAAAUCUCUAAGAGGAUCAGCAUCAUCAAGAAUGCACGCCAACCAAGUUGCCAUGUUUACACACAUACUUUCCUUUCUCUGGCCCUCUCCCCAGCUGGUUGAACCAGGGCCACAGUGUGGCUAGUAACCUGUGAACUUGGUAAUUAUGUUUUAAAACUUGAGCUGGGUGUAUUAUUGUUGUUGCUGUUUUGUCUCUGGAUUUAGAUUUAACACAUGAAGAAAGGAUUUUCUAUAGCAUACCAAGGCACAUCAGAGGCAUCAGGACCUCAGAGUGACCUGUGAAAGCUGGAAAGUGUCAGGGCAAAAAGAGGAAUAUGUGCCAUAGAGCUGAGUCAUGUUAAUAAGGGAUCAGUAAAGCUUACAGAACUGCUGACUCUGCAGAGGUGCAUGAAGCUGCCAUCGCUCUAUAAUUACCUUGACUCCAAUAGCCCUUAGCCCCAGGCAUGAAACAGCAUUUUCUUUGACUGUUGUAAGAUAUAGAUCCCAUACUUCUUUCAGUGUACAUAUAUAACCUGGCUGGCACAAAUGGGCCUCUAAAUUAUUAAGAAACUUAGCUUAACCAAGACUUGGUCCCAGGCUUUUUACAUUUUAUCAAAUAAGCUUAUUCCAGAACUAACAGAUGCCACUGAGGAAGACAAAUUACACAUUUCGGCAGUGAUAUUUCAAACCGAACUGGUCUGAGCUAGUGGAAUACUCUACAUGCUUCUAAAAUUCUAUCUCUUAUCUACAUAUCUAAUUUUCUGUUUCUUUGUUUCCAAAUUCCUCCCCUCAAAGAUUGAUUACAGCAUUUUCUGUAAUUUGUUAUAGUCUGCUUUUGCUUAAGGAGACAAUCUCUGGAAAUUUAUACCAAAUUACCUCAGUAAUGGAUGUGCUCUCGUAAUUCACCUGUCUUCUGCAUGUUCGCUGAUUUGUGAAACUCUUUAGAACCAAACCUCACUCUUUAAUGGACCAGACAUGUGCUUUUAGCUGUGCUAACCGGGACGCAUAACAUGGGACAAUGGUUUCUGGAAUCCCCCCAGAAACUGAAGGUGCAAGUAGGAGAUUGUGUGUGCUGUGAUUUACAACACAUGAUUAUCGCCUUGAUGGUUCGUUGUCUUUCGAAAUGUAAGUGUUCCUGUUGUUUUUAACUCAUAAGCUACAGUAAAAUGCACAUUUUCUUUGUGGGCAAAAAGUAUCAUUUAGCACAAAAGUCAAAACAUAGCUUCUUUAAAAAAAAAAUCUCCAAUUAAUUCUGAAUUUUAAGUGACUACUAAAUUAAACGUUUCCUGUCACAUGUUAACAAUACGGGGCCUUCCACUGAAUGGCGCUCCGUGUAAUCUUAUUGAGCCAGUAGGUCACAGGAAUACGAGAAAACAUGUUUGAAUCACAGGAGAGAGAGGAUGUUGGAUGGAUCUGUGAAAUACUCUCUGUUGUGGUAUCAGCUGACUGAUGGCUGUGAUUCUCAGAAGGACUCCAACAUUAUGCCUCCUAAAAGCUGGAGAUUAAUGCGACCAUGGUGAACCACACAGCGACACUCUGGCAAAGAAAAAGGGUCAGGACUGGCAAGAUGUGGCAGGUGUCAAAAUAAAAGGUUAGGCUCUGUGCCUGGGGACCCAUCUGUCAGAUAAAACUAUGAUAAGGCAAUUAAUGUAUUUGUUUAUGUUGCUCAUGUCACACCAUGCAUAUUCCAUAAAAAUGAUCAGUUUAAACACUCUCAAUUGCUUUCUGGAAAUUAGACUAUAUGUAAAAAGAAAAUACUCAAGAUUUAAAAAAAAAGGUUUAUUAGUUAAAUGGAGAAUUUACACAGCCAAAUCAAAUUAACUUGAAGAAUUUCUAGUCUCUUUACUAAAGAACUAACGCUAUUAACUAUAACAUCUUCAUAAUGUAGAGUAUAUAUUAGGGACAUUUGAAGCUGAUGUUUAUGCUGCAAUGUAAUUGGUAUAUCACCUCAAAUUUUCACCAUGCUUUACAUUCAUGAUACUAGAUUCUAAGUUUGGAAUAAAAUACAUCCCAGAGAACUUCCAACCAUAAGCUAUGUAUCCUGCAUUUUCUUCAAAUGUUUUGUUCACAACGUUGUCAUUAUUAGGGCUUUCAUUUUCACUCUGUGAGUAAUCCUGACUCCUCUCAUUGUAUUUAUUAUUUAUUUAGCUUUCUCACGACAUCUGCUUUACAAUCUGUUUAAACUAGAACAUGUUUAAGUUUAAUAUUCAUCGGUGAUGUAUUUCUUGCAGACAAAAUAAAUUAUCAUAUGCUUUAAAAUGCCUUAUUAUUUUACAGGUCAAAAAAUAUAAAAGAAUUUACCCAGAAUUAUGAAAGAAAUAAGAUUUUUUUCCCAGUUCAAAAUUUCAGGUAAAAAUUAAUUUUCUCAUUACUUUCUACUGUGGAGUUAAAAAAAAGCUCCCAGUUAUUGUUUUAAUACAUUAUUCUUACAAUAAUGUUACGUUUUGAAGAGAAGAAACUGGUUCAUCAACUGCAUAAUGUGCUAUGCAGAAGGAAUAGUCAAGGCUUUUAAUUUCCGAGGAAAAGCCAGAUACGACUAUUUUGUUCUCAAGCUGCACUUUCUGACAGAGUGAUGGUGUUAGCAUCCAUUGUGACAACAAAAAGAAGCAUUUGAAAAACAGAGCUCCCAUGUUCAAUGGAUUUAUUUUCAUUUUGUUGAGACAGGAUUUACCCCACUACUUCCCAUCUAUUAGAAGGAUUUUCAUUAAAAUUUAAGUCAAUGAUUUUUUUUCACCAGGACAACGUCCCAGCCCAAAGCAUGUCACAAUCUUAAUUUUUCUUCCAUCUCUCAUGGAAGCAUGGCUUCAGUGGAGCAACAGGGAUAUUAUGGUAUGCUGAGGAAGUAAAGGUCAGUGGAGAUUCAAGACACAGAUUUUAUUAUAGGGUUCUUCCUGAGGUCUGAUGCACGACUUACAAAUUAUGUUUGCAGUCUGACUACAACUACUAUUUGAAAUUGAAUUCACUCCUGCCUGCAUUUCCUGGCUCAGAGGUUUAUACUGUUGCUUUAAUUUUAUUUGAAUUUCAGUCUUCUGAAUUAGCUCUGUUUCCUAUCUCUUUAUCUUCAUUUGCCUGGAUGUAGUUGAAAAUACACGAGGGCAAAAUAAAAUUCUUAGUCACCAUUCUGUAUGACUCUUCAAAAUUCUAAGAUGUGUAACAUUAGCAGGCUGUGAUCAAUUCAGCUAACUGGCCACUUUCUCUGUACCAUAGAGCAAAAGUAAUAAUCUCAACAGAAAGUCGGGAUCUCACUCAUUUUUUUCACAGAUCCAUUAAAAGAUCCAUCAAACAAAAGGUAAGAUGAUUUUUAACUUCUUCACAGUAGGGACUGUCCGUUAUAAAUGAUCAAUUUCACAGCACAUAUUCUAUCUUUACAUGGGAAGAAAAUAAACAGCUAGGUUCCUUUUAUUUUAAAAUGAUUUAAUUUCUACUUUCACUUUUCUACAGAAGUGUGAAAGAGCAAUUUUGCUGGAUAUCCACUUAUUUCAAUUCAGCCAUGUGACGAUAUUAUGAGAACUCUGGUGGGGUGGUUGACCCCUCUUUCCUCUGAGACUGUGCAAACCUGCCUCUGUUUUAAACAUAGAAAAAUCUACUUCAAAUUGACUAGCAUAUGCCCACCUGCAUCAGAUGUGCCCUUCCCUUAGCUUCCCAUGCUUCUGGACCUCAUCUGUCUCAGGCAUUGCUUUUCUGGCCAGACCCUUGUGUUUGUUUGUGCUAUCAUUUAUGGUUUUAGGAGUUUAUUUUAAUACAUUGAGCAUUUGCUCAAUAUUAGGUAAGUAAUAUUUUACCUCCAUUUCCAGAUGAUGAAUCCCUGGUAUACUGAGGGUAAAUCAUUCUUAAAAUAUGGACCUAUCUUCUUUUAGUAAUGGGGAUUCUAUGCAUCUACUUACUGCUAAAUUGCUGAGGAACCAGGGUGAAAGUCUGAGAGUUGUGUGGCAGGUAAGAAAAAUAAGCAAGUGAGUGUAUAGAGAAAAUUAGAAAAGGGGAAACAAGGAGGUUGGUUGGGGAACAAGCAUAACAGGGUUUUUGUUCGUUUUCUUAUUUUAAAGAGUUGGGUUUUCUUGUUGUUUCGUUUUUGUUUUGUUUUCUUUUGUUUUGUUUUGUCAUUUUACAUACCAUUCUCGGUUGUCCCUCCCUCCCCUUCUCCUGCACCCUCCCACCCUCUCCCAUCCCACUCCUCAUCCUCUGCUCAGAGAGGGUAAUUCCUCCCUUGGGGAUUCCACAAAGUCUGGCAUACUAAGUUGAGGCAGGACUCAGUCCCUCCCCACUGUCAAGGAUGAGCAAGGUAUCACACCCUGAAAAGAGGGAGGAGGGAUCAGAGGAGCAAGUGAGGUCAAGAUCAUGAUGGGGGAAACCAUGAAGACAGCUGAUCCAAGCUGGUGGGAGCUCAUGGACUCUGGACUGUCAACUGAGGAACAUGCAUGAGACUGAACUGAAUGUGGGUGACAGUUAUGGGGCUAGAUCUGUCUGGGGAGCCCCUGGCAGUGGGACCAGGACUUAUCCCAGGUGCAUGAAGCAUAAUGAUUUUAAGAUAAAGCGUUACAGCAAAGCAUGGGUAAGAUAUAACACUAGGUGGUUCAGUGGUGUUUCCUGUUGCUCUGUUAAAAUACCCUGUCGAAAGCAUCUUAAGGGAGACAGACUGUCUAACAGCUCACAGUUCAAGGCACAGUCCAUCCUGCUGGGGGAGUCAGACAGCAGGGACCUGAAGGAGCUGAACACAUCACGUUUACAUGUAGAAGAGAGCAAUGAGUCCAUAUGCACCAAUGCUCAGCUCACUUUCUCCAAAACCCUGCCUAAGAAUGGUACCACCCACAGAGGGUAGGUCUUACCUUCUAAUUAACUUAAUCAAGAUAAUCCCCCACAGAGACCAGUCUCCCAGGUGAUUCAAGACUUUUGUCGAGUUGAGAACAUGAACCACGACACUAUGGAAACUUGCAAAAGCCUCACAAUAAUGUUGGAAAGGAGAAAAAGGAAACCCUGAGAAAUAACAAAUACAUGGGUUUCUGGGCCUUUAGCAUAAUUUGAUUAAUUCUGAAAUAAUGUUUCCAGUAUGAAAUUAAUUUUCAAGAUAGAAUAACGAGGAACCUCUGUCUCUGAAGAGGUUAUUCAUGUUGUUACACUUCAUCAUGGUAGUGGUUUAGCAUGUGAGGAAGACAUUAUACAGUGACUUGGAAGACAGACUUUGUAGACAACGAGGAGCCUGACUCCCUGCUCCCUCCUCCCUGUCAUGUGUGUGAUCUUGGCAGGAGUCUCAGAGCUACUUCCUCCUGCAGCAGAGGAGCUGACUGUGUGCAUCUCCCUAGUAUCCUGUCCAGUAACAUCCCAGCAGCGGAUCUCACACAACCAACGUGAUUUAGAGCAUUACGUGGGCAAUCCUAGAUUAGGCAAAUCAGGGCUCUAGUCCUCCUGCAUUAUUCCAGGAGGCCGACAACAUCCCUAGCCCUUACAAGUCUUCCUUCUUGAUUUUCACUGGAAAAGAAACAAAUAAAUUGAAAGUACUCUCUGCAGACCUUUCAAUAGAUGGUAGAUUUCAGGUUGCCUGUAUGUAGCAAACAUCAAUAUCAUAACUCUUGAAAUUUAAUUCAGCGUGUUCUACAGAACAGUGAACACUUUUGCAAUUCUAAUGCACUAGAAAGCAUUUCAAUUAGUUCAUCAUAAUUCCAGGGGAAGAGGAUUUGUAAAAAUCCUUUUACUGGCUUUACAGGUGAGAUAUUUUCCUUUAAGUAUUAUUAGGAGCUUCCAAAGACAACAUACAAUUAUAAAUAUUUGUCUAUUAAAUUCAUAUAUAUACACACAACUAGGAUAGAUAUAUAUUCUCUAUAUAUGUGUAUAUAUAUUUAUAUAGAAACAGAAAUUAAAGUAGAGACCAUGGAGAAAUGCUGUCUACUAGUUUGCUCUCCACGGCCUGCUCAACUUGCUUUUUUAAGCAACCCAAGACCAAUUCAUUCUGGGUGGCACUGCCAUGAUGUGAACUGUCUCACAUCAAUCAUUCAUCAAGAAAAUGCCCCUCCCCCAGGUGUUCCUAUGAGCAAUGUGAUGGACACAAUUCUUCAGUUGAGCUUCUCUUUUCCCAGUUAACUCAAGUUUGUGGAAAGUUGAAAGAAAUUAACCAUCAACACAUGUGCGCAUGCACACACACACACACACACACACACACACACACACACACACACACACAUACCCCUCUUGGUAUUUUAAACACUUUUCAGAAUUAGAGUAAAUCUGUGGCUUCAGUUCUUCACCAUACUCCUGGAUAAGUUACUAUGAGGUCUGAUGCUGGCUGUAUGCCCUGCUCUUCUGGAAGCUCUAAUAGAAUAUUCUAAGCCAGAGGCCACUGUGUCUAUCAUGAUGACAGGCAGUGUGUACAAUGUAAACCAUUAAAGGUAGGCUCUGCAGGGUAUCAGGAAUUUAAGUAAAGAUUAAACCAUCAGUAAAUCAGCCUACUGACUUGCCUAGCUAAAACCUCUUUCAUCUAGGUAGUCUUCAACAUGGAUUAUUUGUUCUUUGGAUCCUUCCUUUUUAUUUCUGCUCUAAGAAUGUAAUUUUUACAAUAUGUAAGAAUAACUUAUGCAUACACAUUUUAUUGCAAAAUAGUUUAUAAACUGUGAAGGUAAUUUUACUGUCAAAAAUAUUUUUAAAACUUAUUUAUGGAAUUGUGUAAUAUUGAGAAUACUGAAGUGAAAUUGUUAUUACUUAACAAACUGUGUGAUUGUUUACAAAAGUGAGAAGAAUUCCUCUGUCUCCAAGUGUGUGCACUUUUGCCAUAUGCUAGUCCAUACCCCACCCCUCCACCCCCACUGCCACUUCAAUCUGGGCUUUCCUAAUUGCCACACUUUGUCCAAUAUCACUUUAGGCAGCAUGACUAAGGGAGAUAUUUAUCAAGGUUGCCAUAUCUGCUGUCCUGAAGUCACCAUUUCAAAGAAGCUUGAGUUACUUUCCAGGAAGCAGAAGGGAGCCCACAGGAGAGAGAUGUUAUAUAAGCUAAGGGCCCUCAACAAAAUACUAGCUACAUGACAGUGGCUAUAGUAUACUAAGAUGACCUGUCCAGUGUUAGAUAGUCGCACAUCACCCAAAGACUCAUGAGAAUAGGUAAUACAAUUGUUUUAAGCCAGGUAGCUCAUGGAAAAAAUUCAGCUAUUUUUAAAAAUGCAGAAUCUGGGGUGACACAGAAACAUAUAUUUACUUACAUGUUAUCUAAGAUUAGUUUCAUAGUGUACAAAAGUGGUAGAGUUGAAUAAUCAGAGAGUCUAUGGCGUGAAGAGCCUAAAAAUAUAACAUCUUUCCUUUUUCAGGGGAAACUUCAUGAACUCUUUCUUUAAGUCUAGGAGGCAGGGUGAUUUGUUGGGCAGCAAUAAAUUACACAGACAUUUGCCCAAAGCGAACAUGCCUCAUUCCUUAUUAAACCAAUAAAUUCCUAUGCUCCUGAAAAACUACACAUGCAUUGGCAGAGCCAAUAACCCACUCCAUGGGUAAAGCUUAUUGUUCAGCUUGCAUUUCUAAAGGACAGUGAUGCAGAUGGUUGGUUGAACACCAGCAUCUGCUACUUAUUCACCACAGCAGUGGAGCUGGGCAUAAGGCUGGCUACUCUUCCAGAAUUGGAUUUCUGAGUCCCUAUGUUAUAUGUGACCCCGAGUUUGUAUUUCCCUUUCUGAAAUAAGAAGAGAACAGAUGAUAGUAUUUCCUUGGGUUUCUCCUUACCUUUCUUACUCUUCCAACUAACAGAAACUUAUAGCUACUUGAUUUACCUCCCUAAUAAGUAUAAUAGGCUAGAGAAGGAGGAAGAAAUGAAAACUAUUCAAAUAAUUUAAGCCAACUUUUUUACUUUCUAGAAUUCCAUGGAGCAGAAGUUCUAACAGCUUAGAAUACUCAUAUUGAUCUACAAAUUAGAGAGAAGUAAAGUUGAGUCUUCUCUAAUGUACCAAAUGGCCAUUGGUUAUCAUAUUUCAGCAGAUUGACCAUCUCCUAACAAAGGUAACAGUUUUAUUCAAAAAGUUUUGGCACCAAAAUGAUUUAGCUGAUAAAACAUUGGAUAGUUGGUUCCAAACUCUAAGUGACUUUGAUAAACUUUGCCCCAAUUUUGUUAGUUGGCCAGAGGCGAACCAUUUACAGUAACCAUACUUUUUUCUCUUCCUAGGUAAAAAUAUACAACUCCAGAUAGACGAAGCAGGAAUUUUGAACACUGAUCUUUCUAAUUCCUGUUUCUCCCAAGUCAGAGGGCUGCAGUAACUGGCGAUCGCCCUAGGCAUGUGUCACUUUAGUUCCCAGAAAUGCUUGUGCACCAACACAGUGCCUUAGGUGAUGUGAUAGGGGUAUAGUCAAGGUGAGCCUUUGCCAUGAGGCUGAAAAGUGCAUACAGAGAAUGUUUUUAGGCAAUUAGCAGAAAAUUAGGGAGGAGAAUUUUAGUCACACUGGGAAUCCGUAAACUAAGAUGGCAGUCAAUAUGGUUUAAUGAGGGUAACUUUGAAGUAUGUACACUUGACAUGGUUCCCAUUUCCCCAGUGGUUGUCUCCUUAAGACUGGGGUGGAGCCUACCAACUCAUAGAGGACACUAACCUAAGCAAUUCUGGGAGUGACCCAUUCUUAGAAAACCAAGUCUUUAGCAGACUUAAUAUCCAGAGGUUAAGACCCUGUUAUAGAAAUUCUGAAAAUCUAAAUGCAGCAAAUGUGUUCUGGAGCAAAAACAAAACAAAAAACAACCAAAGAAAAAAAAAACAAAACAAUAAUAACAAAACCUUUAGUUUUAUUUCCAAAUGAAAUGCAUUUAAAAAAUAUUCUUCCCAGAGGAUUUUGUUGAAAGUAAAGAAUACUUCCCAAACACAACUGUAAAAAAUGGAAGCUGGCUUGUGGUGCUUGGGGACUGCCUACUCAUCUGGCAAUGCCCUCUUAAGAGUAACUUCUUUUGGAAACUGUAUCAGCUGUUCUUGUUAUGGACCAUCUCGGAUUCUGUAAUUUCUGGAUCAGGAUGAGCGUAAUAGUCUUAGUUAUCUAAGUACCUGCUUUCCCUGCUGGACUCAAUGCCAUGUAAGGAAAGAAAACAUAUUUUUCUUGCUUACCAAAAUAUUCCCAUGGCUUGUAAAGAUGGUAAGAAAUACUUGCUGAAGAAAUAGAUCUCUAAGGGGAAAACGACUGAUUGAAUUUUACCAGCAUUGGAAACGGGCAUGAACAGUGAUGAGCCCUCUGCAAGAUGAACUUGUAUGGAGUAGAUAAUGACUUAAGCAACAUUGAGCAAGGGGUGUUUUCAAAAGGCAAUAUUGGGCCAUGCCCAUUAUGACUAUUAUAGCCAGAAGACACAUGAGGGAAAUGUCCAUUUUGGUGCAGGGCCAAGGACUGGCAAGGAAAAUUCAAUUCAGACCAAUCUCCCUAUAAGGACAUACUUAGCUUUGGGAAAGGAAAUUGGAACUCAUUUGGGUUUUCUAUCUCACAAUAUAAUUACUAUGGUUAUUCUUCAGGAUGUGUAUUCACAUACAUGAGAGCUGGUGUUUAGAUAUCCUUCUUAUGAGGGUAGUAAUCUUCCCAGGUGCUGAAGUCCAAAAUGGAAAAAAUAAAAUAGCCAACUGAAAAUAGAACCCAGUUCUCCAUGAUUAUGUUGAAAAUUUAAGUAAAAUGCAUUGCUGGGGGGCUGGUGCACUCCAGAAGAGAGGAGAGAUAAUCAAAGCAAAGACAAGACCCAACACACUGGAGGGAAAUUAGAGGAAAUGUGGGAGAAAACGGUCUCUUAUGCUCUGUGCCACAUAGGAACACAUCUGUGUCACUCAGCAAUGUCAGAACUUACUGAAUAACAAUAAAUUAGCAAGGUUUGGUAGUUUCAACUACAGUAAUUUGCUAGAUAACCCUUGGUAAUCUGUCUAAGGCAAAUGAAAGUUCUUUUAUUUCAAUCUUAAUUAUUAACGUUAAAUCUUAGAUCAUGCAUCACACAACCCACAGUGAGUUUGACAAUAUAUCUUUAGACAGAAUGAAUAUAAGUUAAAGAAGCUGCAUCAGCAUUCAAAAGGUCCUAGAAGUAGGCUGAUGGAAAUGUUAAUAGAGUCUGUAUUGAUAAGAUAACUAAGAAUUCAGGCCAGGGUAACAUAUGAUAGAUUGGUGGGAGGACCUGCCAUCAUAGUGCUAGACGCCCAUCCUUUUACCAGGUUCAUGUGAAGGAGAUACAGCUUUUCCUUGGUCUAAUGAGUCUUGUGCAUUCUUGUGUCUAGUUUCCCUGCUAUGAUUUUAAAAAUGCCCAGGUGCCCUCAAAGUCUCAGUUCACACCAAUAAACUUAAAAGGUGGCAUCCUUUCUACUACAAGGAAUAGGUCAUUUAUCAGUUGGAACUAGAUGGGUGGUACUCAAUGAAUACUGUGGGUUAUGGGUACACCAGGGACCACAGUCAUCUCCCUCUAAAACGGAACAAAAAGCUGUUUGUAAUAUAGAGUGCCCUAGGUCAAAGCACAGUCUGAAAACCCUUUGUUUUAUACAAUAGAAAGUAACUAAGAGAGGGGUAAAACCGGAUCUCAACAAAACCAAAAGGGGUAAAAGUCAACCUGACUGGGAAAAAUCACUUACCCUCUCUCUACCUGUAUCUCAUUAGUAAAAUUAGGAUGAAAUAAUUUAUAAGGUUGCUAUUAACGUUCAAAUUUUUAUGAGCAGCGAGGCUUUCAGAACAUGAUGUCUUCAGCAGAAAACACCACCAUUUUUCAAUAUUCCUUUUACAUGUAAUGGAAACAAGUUAAAAUAAUAGGUCUGAUGUUCACAAAGCCAUUAAAUAUUUACUGUUCACUCUCUUGAUGACCAUUUUGAUUCAUUACAUAGUAUAUAUAAAUCAUCGAUAUUUUCAAAUUACAAACAGCUCAGGAAGAAAUUUUGCAUCUCCUGCUGUGGCCUUGAACUAAAAUAUGAAUUACCUCCGUCUUGGUGGGGAUGUUUUUAAGCUUAUCAUUUGUUAAGAGCACUAAGAACCUAAGCAAAAUACUACAUAUGUAUGAUAAGUGCAAGAUAUUGCAUAUGUAUGAUAGGUUUAUUAUGAUAAUUUUCCUUGAAUUGUAAAUUGUAUCACAUAGAUCAUUUUACCUUUUCUGGGAGUCUCUUUGUUUAUUUUUAAAAUAUUAGUAUCCAGUAACAACCCAAUUCAAACAGAAAGAGAUGUUCUCUGUGUCACACAAUAUACCAUUAGUGAAACUAAAAUAUUGUGUUAUUUCUCUCAAGGGAAAUAUAAUUAAAGAUAAAGGGAGAUGUGGGGAGGAUGGCACUGAUUUAUAAAUAUCACAGUGCUAUUUUAUGAGUCUAUACAUUCUUGUUUUUUUCAUUUAGUUACAUGUCCCUACUACUGCCUUUUCUGUUUCCUAAAGUGUUGAUGUUUCUAUCCCCUGGGGUGCAGCCUUCAUAGUUUGCAAUUUCUCCAAAUACUCCAAAAAUCGUUGUCUGUACUAGGUGUUGCACAGCAAAGAACCAUCCAUCGAUAAGUCUUUCAAUGUUCAUUCCAACACUCCCUUUCCAAACUUGUUCUCAAACUCUGUCACAGAUCCUUGGCCUCCUAAAAUUACCAUUACCUACCCUAACCCAUCCCCACCCCCUCUUUCUUAUGCAAAUGAACGUGCCCUGGCCUCCUGCCUUGAGACUCAAGUCAACUCCUUCCUGAAAGCUUUUUUUCCCCAAAAAAUUCUUUCUUUUCAUCCUGUUUUUGAAACUAUGUCUGUUUUUGAAAUUCAGAAAAUGUGGCAGUCAGGUAAUAAGCAAAUCUGUCAGGGUUCCCAAACUGAUAGAUGAUGAAUGAAGUCAGCGUCUGUUUGGAAGACGCUAAUAAUGGUUCUGUUGGGUCUUACUGCUUGUGUACAUUCGAAAUGCAGAUGGUGUGUGGUAUACAGCCGGAAGUAGCAUUAAAAUAAGUUGCACACCAUCCUUUAGUUCCCCAAGUUUGCCAAUUAUCUUAGAGCACUGGUCACAAACUAUACAAAUAGUUUGCAGGGGUGAGAGUGAGGUGCUAGCAAGUAAUCCAAAUAAAAAUAUUCAAAUGACAUCCAGUGAUGCUGGCAUUCCUAGGCACUGAGAAUGCCUACCACUACAUUCACCAGAUGUUAAAAAUUACCUCUGCACUACUGAACACAAUCUCUAGACAAUAUUACUAUUCAAAUUUAUUCAAUUUAAGAUAAAGUUCCUAGUAUGCAUAAAACUACCUUAAUUUGUUGUGUGAAAUAGGUAAAGUAGUUCUGAUUUUAGUUUCUGAGACAACUCCAUACUGAUUUCCAUUGUAGCUGAGUUAAUUGCAUUACAACACCUCUUUUUUUUCAUUUCUAUUGUUUUAUUUGUGUUUUUGUUUAUGUUUGUAUAUAUGUGUGUGUGUGUGUGUGUGUGUAUGUGUGUGUGUGUGUGUGUGUGUGUGUGUGUGUGUGUGUGUGUGUGUGUGUGAAUACAUCCUGCAUUCUGCAGGUGCUUUGGGAGGCCAGAAGAGGGCGUCAGAUCACCCUGGAGCUUGAGUUACACAUGGAUAUGAGCUGCCCAACUUUGUAAUUCAGCAGACCAGCAGCUGGGAAGAAAUCUUCAUUUUCCUCCCUGGGAAGUAAUAGCUUCCAGAUACUGUCCCUCUUAGAAGCAAAGAGAAAUUUACUUGUUUUAACUGUUUAUAAUUAUGCACUGCUGAUUGUUUUGAAUGGCUUCUACAACAUAUGUAUCUUUAGUUAUUAUCCAUUUUGGUGAAGAUAAACACUGGUUUGUUUAUUUUCAGAAUUUAUAAUAAUACACUUCAUUAUUAAAUUUCUGCAAUUGACUCCCUCCUUCUAUUAUCUAUAAAAAUUUGCUCUCUCACAGUCGCCCUCCCCCCCAGUUUUUGGUUAAAAUGAAUACCAUUGUUACAAUAAUAAAUUCAUGUGUGUAUACGUGCAUAUGAGUACAUGUAUUAAUUUCUGCUGAAUAUGUACUGAAUGCAAUUGUUCAUGUGUUGCUUUAAUGAGCCUGUGCAGCUUUUCUCCAAACUUCUCUCUCCAGUUUGUAUUUUGUCAGCACCGGGCUGGGUUCAGCUGCACCAUGGCCUCACCGGUACUGGAGUUGUCUGCCACCUCUUUCCUCUAUUCUGGUAGGUUAGCAAAGGCCUUAAUCAGUUUCUGACUUCCAUGAAGAUAAUGAACAAAGUAAUCGGGGGAAUUUAUCACAGGUCUUCUGGACACGCACAUUUUUCAACAGUCUAUUGAAGUCCUUUCCCAAGUUUUCUACUAGACUGAAUCAUUUUCAUAUUGAUUUGAAAAUGUUCUUAAUAUAGCCCAGAUGAAUUUGGAUACUAUCAAUUUACGCAUGUGUGUAUGCCACUUACCAAUAUGUUUUGAUUUUAAUUCUAUCUAUGAUGUCUUUAGUCACCAAAUAUUCUUUAUUUUUUUAAAUUUUAUUAUUCAUUAUUAUUGCAGACUUCUGUGAUGUGUGUGUGUGUGUGUGUGUGUGUGUGUGUGUGUGUGUGUGUGUGUGUGUGUGUUUGUGUUCUUGUGCAAGCCAGGCCACAUGUGUGUAGGUCAGAGGACAAUAUUCAGGAGUGGAUUCUUUGACUAUGCAUCCCAGAGACUGAAUUUAUGUUGUCAGGCUUGUGCAGAGCACUAACACUCCACUAAGCCCUUUUCAUAGCCAAACAUUCUUCAAAUUAGUAUAGUAAAGCUUACUAACUGGACUGUAAUGCUGUUUAACUUAACAUUUUCUCCUUAAUGUAAUGUUAAUGAUAUGUACUGAUUAAUAAAUCAUUGACUCUUUCUAGAAUAUUCAAUUUCCUUAUUGAUUUUUAUUGUUUUGCAGCCUUGUUCUUUGAUACUAGGAAUUUUAAUUGUGUGUGUGUGUGUGUGUGUGUGUGUGUGUGUGUGCGCGUGUGCGUGUGCGUGUGCGUGUGCGUGUGUAUCCAAUGGAAUCACUUCCCGGCAUUCCCAUAGCCUGUGGCACCUCCUUAGUCAUAUGAAUGUAGGAUAUUAUUGAGUUCACAUUGGUUCUUCUGGCAUAUUACAUUGUCAAAACUAUACCAUUUUAAUGAUCAUGUCUUGACAAUAGCUGAUAGAAAGUCAUUCUUCCUCACUCUUCUAUAAGACUCUUGACUAUUUUUUAAACACAUUUAAAAUUAAAUUUAUGUAUUCAUUCAUUGUGUGCUGAGGGCAUUUGUGUCACAGCACAUGUGAGAAGAACAUAAGGUAUCUUGUGGCUCGCCUUUGAUCACGUGGGUCCUGGAAAUCAAAUCCAUGUCCACAAGCAUAGUAACAAGUGCCUCUACCCACUGAGUCAUCUUGCUGACCUUAGGUUCCUGACUAUUCUUAAACCUCUGCAAUUAUGUACAAUAUUUUAAUAAACUGAUCAAUUUUCAGAUGAAGACCUCAUCUGUUCUCUGAAUACUAAGAGGUUUCAAUAUUUUAAUAAACUGAUCAAUUUUCAGAUGAAGACCUCAUCUGUUCUCUGAAUACUAAGAGGUUUCAAUAUUUUAAUAAACUGAUCAAUUUUCAGAUGAAGACCUCAUCUGUUCUCUGAAUACUAAGAGGUUUCAUGAUUGGUUUUUGAACUUUUUAAUUCAUGUGACAAGUUUUCUUAUUCUUUUUGAUGUUAAUGUUAGCUAUUUGUAUUCUUUUGUUGCUAAAACCCUGUUAUAAUGCACAGACUAAAACUGACCCAUCCAUUUUAAUGUACUGCUCUAUUUAGUUGGCUAAUAUUUUGGUCAGUACACUUCUAUCUGUAUUCAUGAAAGUGGUUCGUUUGUGAUUUUAAUUUUUUGUAAUAUUUUUGCCAGAUUUUACAUAAACCCAUCAUUGAAUGGAAAUUGUUUCCUCUAACUAUUUCCAUCAUUUUGUAGUGGGAUUUGUGUAGAAAUUCUGUUAUUUUUUCCUAAGUACUUAAAAAAGUUUCUUGAUGGAUUCAGUUGAAAUAGUGUUUCCUUACAAAAUUAAAAAAAAAUAUUUCAAAGCAAAUAUGAUAUUCAAAUAUCUAUGUAUUUUUAAAGCUUUUAUAUUUUUAAAUAGUUCAUUUUACCUUAUUUAUUAAGGACAUUUACAUAAAGUAAUUAAAUAUAUUUUUUAUUUUUAGAUAUCAGUAGGACUAAGAGUGAUGUCUUUAUUUUUGUUUCUUAUAUUGAUAAGCAGGUUUUAUUUUAUUUAUUUGGUUAAUCAUGUAGGUUGUUAGCAAUUUUAUUAUCCCAAACCAGAAAAGAACUUUACACAUUGUUGAAUGUAUAUAUAAUGUGUGUGCUUUGUAUUUCAUUUAUUUAUACCCUUUAUUGUUUAUGUCAAUCUAUUUUGCAUGAAUAAUGUGCUGUUCAUUUUGCUGGGAGAAUUCUUGAGAUGGAAUCUUAGAUGUUGACUUUCAACCCCUUUCUUCUCUAACAUGAGAAUUUAAAACUCUCUAAAGAACAUGACUUCAUUUUUAUUCCUUUUUUUAAAAAAUCUGCUCCAUUGACGCUUCAUAGACAGACCACCGAAACUCCACUGACUUUUUCUCAUGUUAUUGAAGAGUAAAUGACUUAACUUUCAGAAGUUAGAGAUUUUUAGUUAUUUAUCCUAUUUUUUAAAAUUUGAAUCAGUAGUAGUUAGAAGCCUAGUCUCUGUAUUAUUAGUUGGAAUCUGUUAAGAUUCAUUUUCGGUAUGGGUUCAUUGUAUAUCUAAAGAUACUAUGUAUUUAAUCCAAUUUGUAUGCGAGUGUGUGCCAGUGAGUCAUUGGUUGGGUUGUUUAGAUCCUGCAUAUACAAUUUUUGUCUUUUCUAUUUACUCUAUCACCCCUCAAUAGUAAUCAGUUGAAUUUUCUGAAAUAUCUUUGGAAUUAUUUGUCUUUUUGCUACAUUUUAUCUACCAUUUAACUACAUUUUUUUAUGUAUAUGUUAUUUCUAAUCUAUGUAUUUAUGUUAUCUAUUUAUUAUUUAUUUAUAUUCUUUUUUCAUACAUAAAAAUAAUUUUAUAUUUAUCUAUAUUCUAUUAUCAUUGAUUUAUGCCUCUAUCAUCUAUCAUUCUAGCAUGGAUAUUACAAGUUAUUGGAUAAACACAAUCUUUAAACUGUAUAUACUGUUGUUGGUUUGAUCUUUUAUUAAUGUGAAAUAUUGUUACUUACAGAAGUUUUCUAGUUUUACAACCCAACUCUAUUUUAAAAUAAUCUAAUAACUUCUUUUUCAAUGUGUUUCUAUGGAAUUUUCUUUCAUAUUUCCCUAUGGUCACACAUGUAUGUGCAUGCACACAUACAAGCACACAUACACACUAAAUAAAUGAAUGUAAAAAGGAAAAAGUACUAAAUAAAGCAAAUGGUAUAUAGAAUAUACUAGAAAUAUAUUAACAUCCUUCUUUCUUUUGUAGUUUCUUUGUUGAUUUGCUUGGUAUUUGAGAAAAGAUAGUGCCCUAAAUGAUCUUAAAGUCAACAUGAAGCUCAGGGUGGCCUUGAACUCAUGAUUUUCCUGUCUCAGCCUUCAGAAUGGUGAAAUAUACCAGCAUGCCCAGCUCUUCUCUACUCCAUUUCCAAGAUUGUUUUAGGUUGAAUUGGAUGUUGUUACUAUAACAGAUUAAUGUAUGAGUUACUGUAUUGACAGGUGCCUUGUGUGGGCUGAGCUCCUUUAAGUACUAAAGAAUGAGGGCCUGGUUCAGGGGAGGUACCCUGACAGACACUGCUGGUUUCUUGUUUAAGUAUAGGAUUGUUUUUCUUCUUGUGAUUAUAUUCUCUUUUCACACAUAAUGCCAAGGAUUAGCAUCUUUCUUUUUUAUUGGCUUGCCUUUUCUGCAGUUUAUCUCUUUUAAUGAUCUCUUGGAGAGCUAGCAUUUAAAUUUAUCACUCAACUGUUCUCUCACUUAUAAAUUAUUGAUCUCCAAUGGUAUCUUUAUUAAUUCAUUCCUGCCAUUUUAUACUCAUUUAGAAAAUUAUUCCUUUUUUUAGUGGAAUGAUUAAUUAAUCUAUUUCCAUUCUUUCUUGUUUAACAUGAAAAACAUUAAAGCAUUAUAUUUUCUUCUGAGUACUGGUCUGGCAAAAUCCUACCGUGUUUAGUUCUUCUAUGAAUAUUUUUGAUUUUUAACCUUGCCAUGAGUGGGGAAUCAACCUCCCCCCUCUUAUCCAAAUUCCUAAGAUUGACCCACAGCUCCAACAUUGCUACCAUCUUCUGAUAUGGUGGCAUAUACUUUAGCUGAGUGCCUCUUCUCACCUGCUUUUGUAACUGUCUGUGGCCAUCUCACCAAGAUCCAAGAGGAGAGCUGAGUGACGAUUCUGGGAUGGUAGGGGAUGUGAACAGUGACAGUGAAAGGAAGUCUUUGUCUUUUUCCUGAUACUUCAAAUGCAGAUCUGAAAAAGGAAGGAUCUGGACCUCCCCACCUGGAUCCCAGGUGAAAACAGCAGCUUCUGGAAUGAGCAAGCAGAAGACCCAGUCUCCAAGGAGCUACUUUAUCUGACCUGAAAAUGUACAAAAUUAUUGUUGUAAGAGAGAAAUUUACAUCUAUCCCUUUAGGGACCAUUAUUUCAAGACUCCACUUCAGCAGCCGCAAAUAUAUAAUAACUGAUACAGUUACUAAUUACUAGUUGAGUUGCAUUGCUACCAAGGAAUAUGAAAUAUAUAAAAUGUAUGUCCUAGUUCUAUAUAGGAUAUACUAAGAUACUUUAGCUGUCUAAGAAGUGAUCAAGUUUUGUAAGUAUUUACUACUGUUUUUAUGAAUUUUCUAUUACAUAACUGUAUAUUGUCUUAGCUUAUAUAUAUAUAUAUAUAUACAUAUAUACAUACACACACAUAUAUUUGCUAUUCAACCCACAUUAUUAGUUGUGUUACUACUUUCCAUAUCAUGCUCUAUAUAACGGAAUUACAUAGAAGACUGAUGAGUUUCCAUCAAAAUAAAAACAUUUCCUGGUCCCUUUA